AGCGUUAUCCGGAAUUAUUGGGCGUAAAGCGCGCGUAGGCGGUUUUUUAAGUCUGAUGUGAAAGCCCACGGCUCAACCGUGGAGGGUCAUUGGAAACUGGAAAACUUGAGUGCAGAAGAGGAAAGUGGAAUUCCAUGUGUAGCGGUGAAAUGCGCAGAGAUAUGGAGGAACACCAGUGGCGAAGGCGACUUUCUGGUCUGUAACUGACGCUGAUGUGCGAAAGCGUGGGGAUCAAACAGGAUUAGAUACCCUGGUAGUCCACGCCGUAAACGAUGAGUGCUAAGUGUUAGGGGGUUUCCGCCCCUUAGUGCUGCAGCUAACGCAUUAAGCACUCCGCCUGGGGAGUACGACCGCAAGGUUGAAACUCAAAGGAAUUGACGGGGACCCGCACAAGCGGUGGA
rnacentral:rRNA from 1 species